rnacentral:lncRNA from 1 species
GGACAUAGGAGCUUGCUCUGCAUCUUAAGCUUUUAUAGUUUCUAGUGAUCAGAUAGCUGUUUAAUGUUUUAGAAAUACCAUUUUCAGUUUGUCUUUGUUGGCUUCAUGUGUUCGGUAACGAAGUAUAUGAUAGUUAUUUUUUAUCACCUUGUUUUUGUAGAUAUUAUCCAUAAUGUGACGGUCUAAGAACUCCCUAAGAUGCCAUCUAUUAAUGGCCCUGACCCCGGCAAAAUUGAGAAGAUAGGCAGUACAGAGAAAGCAUUUAGUCCUACAGAGAAGCUGUUAAAGCCAGAUAUAAAUAUAGCAGCCCAUCAAAACGUCAGCGUAAAAUCUGAGAGUUGCAAGCCUGAAGAAGGUAUUCCGUUUGACAAUGCUAAUCCAGAAGGUCGGGUUCGAGAGGGCAAUAGUGGCAAGGAUGAGAAAGAAAUGCGGCUUUUCAAAGUUGCCCUUGUGGAGUAUGUUAAGGAGAUUCUAAAGCCCGUGUGGAAGGAAGGUCAGAUGAGCAGGGAAGUCCACAAAUCUAUCGUGAAAAAGGUGGUAGAUAAGGUAACCGGUACAAUACAAGGAGGCCAUAUCCCUAAAACACAAGAGAAAGUUGAUCAAUAUCUUGCAUGUUCUAAACCCAAGCUUACCAAACUUGUACAGGUCAGCUUUGAUUGCAAUUUCCUGUUGUUAGCAUAGUUCUUUCUGACAUUUAGUAAACUGCACUUACUGCCAUUCCAGUUUAUACCGUCAAAGCUUUAGCAUGGUUUGUCUAUCACAUGUUUCCUAAUUUGAAUUUCUGUCACAUAGCAUGUUUCUAUUAUUAAAAACAGUCUCAUCAUAUAGACUGAUUUCAAAAAGUAGAUGUCCAUUGGGAUAUUAGGUUGUAGAAAUGUAUUAAAAAAUUGGAUGUAGCUCUAACGUCCGAUUUAUCUUUGCAGGCUUACACUGAGAGACUUUUGAAGAGUUAAAAGAGGAGUUUAUAAGAGGUGCUUGAAGUACUUUGCUAUUAGCAGAUGUUUCUUGCGCCGGACAUAGGAGCUUGCUCUGCAUCUUAAGCUUUUAUAGUUUCUAGUGAUCAGAUAGCUGUUUAAUGUUUUAGAAAUACCAUUUUCAGUUUGUCUUUGUUGGCUUCAUGUGUUCGGUAACGAAGUAUAUGAUAGUUAUUUUUUAUCACCUUGUUUUUGUAGAUAUUAUCCAUAAUGUGACGGUCUAAGAACUCCCUAAGAUGUUUUGUUAUCUUGUAACCUGGAGUAUAUAAGGUUGUUGAUGUCUCUCUUUUAGACAAUAUUGUGUUUACUAUUUGGAAAAAU